UACAGAGGGUGCGAGCGUUAAUCGGAAUUACUGGGCGUAAAGCGCGCGUAGGCGGUUUUGUAAGUCGGGUGUGAAAUCCCCAGGCUCAACCUGGGAACUGCAUUCGAGACUGCAUAGCUAGAGUAUGGGAGAGGGAAGUGGAAUUUCAGGUGUAGCGGUGAAAUGCGCAGAUAUCAGGAGGAACACCGGUGGCGAAGGCGGUUCUCUGGGCAUUACCUGACGUGAGGAGCGAAAGUGUGGGGAGCGAACAGG
rnacentral:rRNA from 1 species